rnacentral:miRNA from 1 species
AGGAACCCAGGCCCCCUCCCCCGCCCCAGGCCUGGCAGGGGAGGGGCCGCAAGAUGCAGCUCGGGCCACAAAAGGAGUGCUCCUCCCUGGAGCGCCAGACC